rnacentral:rRNA from 1 species
AGGGAAUUUUCGGCAAUGGGGGGAACCCUGACCGAGCAACGCCGCGUGAAGGAAGAAGGUUUUCGGAUUGUAAACUUCUGUUAUAAGGGAAGAACGGAUUGGAUAGGGAAUGAUCUGAUAGUGACGGUACCUUAUGAGAAAGCCACGGCUAACUACGUGCCAGCAGCCGCGGUAAUACGUAGGUGGCAAGCGUUAUCCGGAAUUAUUGGGCGUAAAGAGUGAGCAGGCGGGGGAUUAAGUCGGCGGUGAAAUUUUGCAGCUCAACUGUAAAAGUGCCUUCGAAACUGGUUUCCUUGAGUGCGGAUGAGGUAGGCGGAAUUUGUGGUGUAGCGGUGAAAUGCAUAGAUAUCACGAGGAACUCCGAUUGCGCAGGCAGCUUACCAAGCCGUAACUGACGCUCAAGCACGAAGGCGUGGGGAUCAAACA